CCUACGGGUGGCAGCAGUGAGGAAUAUUGGUCAAUGGACGAGAGUCUGAACCAGCCAAGUAGCGUGAAGGAUGACUGCCCUAUGGGUUGUAAACUUCUUUUAUAUGGGAAUAAAAUGUUCCACGUGUGGGAUUUUGUAUGUACCAUAUGAAUAAGGAUCGGCUAACUCCGUGCCAGCAGCCGCGGUAAUACGGGGGAUGCGAGCGUUCUCCGGAUUUAUUGGGUUUAAAGGGUGCGUGGGCGGAAUGUCAAGUAAGCGGGAGAAAUUCGGGGCUCAACCCCGUCGUGCCGUUGAAACGGGUGUUCUUGAGGGGGCGGAAAGUAUGCGGAAUGCGUGGUGUAGCGGUGAAAUGCAUAGAUAUCACGCAGAACUCCGAUUGCGAAGGCAGCAUACCGGCGCCCAACUGACGCUGAAGCCCGAAAGCGUGGGUAUCGAACAGGAUUAGAUACCCGUGUAGUC
rnacentral:rRNA from 1 species